rnacentral:rRNA from 1 species
UACGAAGGGGGCUAGCGUUGCUCGGAAUUACUGGGCGUAAAGGGCGCGUAGGCGGACAGUUUAGUCAGAGGUGAAAGCCCAGGGCUCAACCUUGGAAUAGCCUUUGAUACUGGCUGUCUUGAGUUCGGGAGAGGUGAGUGGAACUGCGAGUGUAGAGGUGAAAUUCGUAGAUAUUCGCAAGAACACCAGUGGCGAAGGCGGCUCACUGGCCCGAUACUGACGCUGAGGCACGAAAGCGUGGGGAGCAAACAGG